rnacentral:tRNA from 1 species
GGAGGCGUCGCCUAAUGGUAUGGCAGCGGUUUGCUAAAUCGCCGCGCAUUGCGUGUGCAGGUUCAAGUCCUGCCGCCUCCGCCA